rnacentral:rRNA from 1 species
UACAGAGGGGGCAAGCGUUAUUCGGAAUUAUUGGGCGUAAAGGGCGCGUAGGCGGCCAUUCAAGUGACGGGUGAAAGCCCUCGGCUUAACCGAGGAACUGCCUGUCAGACUGGAUGGCUUGAGACCGGGAGAGGUGAGUGGAAUUCCCAGUGUAGCGGUGAAAUGCGUAGAUAUUGGGAGGAACACCAGUGGCGAAGGCGGCUCACUGAACCGGAACUGACGCUGAGGCGCGAAAGCGUGGGGAGCAAACAGG